GACGAACGGCUGGCGGCGCGCCUAACACAUGCAAGUCGAACGGUGAAGAGGAGCUUGCUCCUCGGAUCAGUGGCGGACGGGUGAGUAACACGUGAGCAACCUGGCUUUAAGAGGGGGACAACAGUUGGAAACGACUGCUAAUACCGCAUAAUGUAUCGGGAUGGCAUCUUCCUGAUACCAAAGAUUUUAUCGCUUAGAGAUGGCCUCGCGUCUGAUUAGCUAGUUGGUGAGGUAAACGGCCCACCAAGGCGACGAUCAGUAGCCGGACUGAGAGGUUGACCGGCCACAUUGGGACUGAGAUACGGCCCAGACUCCUACGGGAGGCAGCAGUGGGGGAAUAUUGGGCAAUGGGCGCAAGCCUGACCCAGCAACGCCGCGUGAAGGAAGAAGGCUUUCGGGUUGUAAACUUCUUUUGUCAGGGACGAGUAGAAGACGGUACCUGACGAAUAAGCCACGGCUAACUACGUG
rnacentral:rRNA from 1 species